GGGUCAGUAGGUUGGUCGUGCCACUGGUAUGUACUGGCCUUACUGAUUCCUCCUUCUUGAAGAACUGUGAUGCCAUUUACUUGGUGUUGCAGGGAAACAGGACUGUUACUUUGAAAAAAUUAGAGUGUUUAAAGCAGGCUAACGCUUGAAUACAUUAGCAUGGAAUAAUGAAAUAGGACGUUUGAUCCUAUUUUGUUGGUUUCUAGGAUUGACGUA
rnacentral:rRNA from 1 species